rnacentral:lncRNA from 1 species
UAUUUUUUUUAGGUUAAACCUAGUUCCACCUGAUGGAAUUUCAGUUAUCUGUGGAAGUGUAACCUGAGAAUCAUUGCUCAAAAAAGAUGAAUGUGUGGGCCGGGGAUGUAGCUCAAUGGCACCAUCCCUGCCUGGCAAGUGCAAGGUCCUGAGUUUGAUCCCCAGUACCUGGAGGGAAACAAGAAAAGAUGAAUGUAUUGCUUCUAAACACACCCACAGCUCAUUAUAAAAGCAAGGGACUCUACUUGACAGAGUGUUCCAUGAAACAGCUUUCUAGUUGAGCCUGCAUGCGUGGUUUUUGCUAGCAGCAUCUUCAACAUGCUUUUUCUCCCUCUGCCAGGAGAUGGGCGUGGGGAACAUUGAGAGGUGUAAAGGGUUCUCAGCACAUUUGAUGAAGAUACUCAUCCAACAGCGACGCUCCUUGACAACACUGACGGAGCAGUGGAUCAUCCUCAGGAACCUUCUCAGCUGUGUGCAGGAGAUCCACAGCAGGCUGACAGGGCCCCCUGUCUACCCUGUGGCCUUCCCACCUCAGGACAGUGUGCAGCAGUGGACAGAGCGGCUACAGCAUGUGGCCAUGCAGAGCCAGAUCCUGCUUGAGCAGCUUUCCUGGUUCUUCCAGUGCUGUCCCAGUGCAGGGCUGGCGCCAGGCCAUGAUCAAGCUUCAGUGCAGGGUCAGCCUUCUGCCUCCCACCUGGAAAGACUGGAACUCACCAAGGGACAGCUGUCUGGAGCAGUGCCAGACAUAAUUCCCUCUGAUGUGGGGUACCCAUCCCCAGUACCUAGAAUUCAACUGCCUUCUGGUUGCCGGAUGCGUAAACAGGACCAGCUUUGGCAAGAGUCGACUGCCAGGAUAACAGAGAUGCUGAAAACCAUUAAAACAGUGAAAGCUGAUGUCGACAAAAUUAGGCAGCAGUCUUGUGAGACUCUCUUUCAUUCUUGGAAAGAUUUUGAAGUUUGCUCUUCUGGGCUCAGUUGCCUGUCCCAGGUGUCAGCUCAUUUGCAAGGCCUAGAGUCCUUGUUCAUUGUUCCAGGAAUGGAGGCUGAGCAAACAGACCCACAAAUGGCAUUAGUUGAAAGCCUGGAAUAUGUAAAAGGGGAAAUUGAUAAAGCCACGGAUGACUUUACUACUUGGAAAACACAUCUACUCACUUCAAACAGCCAAGGAGCAGGAAACCAAAUGUUGGAUGAAAGCUUAGUGGAAGAUUUUUCAGAGCAAAUGGAAACUGCCAUCCAGGCCAUCCUUUGUGCCGUCCAGAACUUAGCAGAAAGAAACAGUAAAAAAGCAGAGGAGAGCACUGACCAAAAAAGACCACAAGAAGAGGAGGCGGGAGCAGGCUUUGAGAGACUACAACCAGGACAUCUAACAAAACUCUUAGAGGAUGACUUCUGGGCUGACGUGAGCACUUUGCAUGUGCAGAAAAUAAUUUCUACUAUCUCUGAGCUAUUGGAGAGAAUAAAAUCAUAUGGAGAAGAUGGCACAGCGUCAAAGCACAUGCUCUUCAGCCAGUCCUGCAGCCUGCUGGUGCGCCUGGUGCCCAUGCUUUGCAGCUUCUCAGACCUUGUCCUCUUCUUCUUGACCAUGUCAUUGGCAACUCACCGGAACACUGCAAAGCUGCUUUCUGUGCUUGCCCAGGUCUUUACAGAGCUUGCCCAGAAGGGAUUUUGCUUGCCCAAAGAAUUUAUGAAAGAUUCAUCAGGAGAUGGAGCAACUGAAUUCCAUGACUAUGAGGGAGGUGGAAUUGGAGAAGGCGAGGGCAUGAAGGAUGUGAGUGAUAAGAUAGAAAGUGAAGAGCAGGUAGAAGAUUCAUUUCAGAAGGGACAAGAAAAGGACAAUGAAGAGCCUGACUCAAAAUCUGAUAUUAAGGGCGAAGAUAACGCCAUUGAGAUGUCAGAGGACUUUGAUGGGAAAAUGCAUGAUGGGGUGCUUGAAGAACAAGAAGAGGAGGAUGAUAAAUCAGAUAGUGAGGGCAAAGAACUGGAUAAACAGAUGGGCGAUCUCAAUGGUGAGGAAGCUGACAAACUAGAUGAGAGGCUUUGGGGUGAUGACGAUGAAGAUGAUGAUGAUGAUGAAGAGGACAAUAAAACUGAAGAAACUGGACCAGGAAUGGAUGAGGAAGAUUCUGAACUUGUUGCUAAAGAUGACAACUUGGAUGCUGGGAAUUUGGACAAAGAUAAAAACCAGCAAAAUAAGAAAGAAGAAAAAGCAGAAUCCGAUGAUGGUGGACAAAGCCAAGACAAAAUUAAUGAACAAAUAGAUGAGAGAGAGUAUGAUGAGAAUGAGGUGGACCCUUACCAUGGCAAUCAGGAAAAGCUUCCAGAACCAGAGGCCUUGGACCUUCCAGAUAACUUGGACCUUGACAGUGAAGACAAGAAUGGGGGUGAGGACACAGACAAUGAGGAAGGAGAAGAAGAAAAUCCAUUGGAGAUCAAAGAAAAAUCAGUAGAUACAGAAGAAGCAGACCAUGAAACUGAGGAAAUGAACGAAGAGACUGAGGCUGACCAGAGUGAAGGUGAAGGUGCACCUGCACCUGAGGAAAACCCCAGUGGGGAUGACAAUGUGGAAAGGGAGGAGGAGAUGGACACAGGAGCUGAUGACCAGGACACAGAUAGUGCCGAACACCCUGAAGAAAACUCAGAGAAGCAGCAGCAGUCUCUGGAAGAAGAGCACAGGGAAGACACCAAGGAAGGGGGAGAAAAGAGCAUUCCUCUUGAUCAAAGUCUGCAGUCCCAGGAAGGAGGAGGAGAGAAAUCUGAUACAGAAGAGCAGGAGCCAGAAGCUGCUGAGAGGAAGGAACACGCGUCCUGUGGGCAGACUGGUGUGGAGAAUGUGCAGAGCACACAGGCUGUGGAGCUGGCUGGGGCUGCACCUGAGAAGGAGCAGGGGAAAGAGGAACACGGAAGUGGAACCGCAGACGCAAACCAGGCAGAAGGCCACGAAUCCAACUUGAUUGCCCGGUUGGCCUCCCAAAAACACACCAGAAAAAAUACACAGAGUUUUAAGAGGAAACCUGGGCAGGCUGACAAUGAGCGCUCAGUGGGUGAUUACAAUGAGCAUGUGCAUAAGAGGCUGAAGACUGUGGAUAACGACAGCCAGGCUGAACAGGGGCCAUCAGAGCCCCGCACCCAGGUGGAAGAUUCGGAUGCAUUUGAGCACAUUAAACAAGGCAGCGAUACAUACGACGCACAGACCUAUGAUGUGGCCAGCAAAGAGCAACAACAUACUGCAAAAGAGUCCAGCAGGGAUCAGGAAGAGGAGGAGACAGAGGAUGCCCUCAUGGAUUUGGAGGAGCAGGAAGAACUUAGAACAGUAGACACGGAGCAGCUGAAGCCAGACGAAGUCAAGUCAGGAAACAUGGCAGCUCCCAGCUUUGAUGAGAUGGAGAUGGAGACCCACACUGUUAAAACAGCAGAGGAGCAAGAAGACCUCAAGACAGACAGAUCCCACAAGGAGACAAUAGAUAAGAAACCAGAAAGAAGCCAAGAUUCAACCAUUCAUACGGCCCAUCAGCUUCUAGUGGAUACAAUUUUCCAGCCCUUUUUAAAAGAUGUCAGUGAGCUAAGGCAGGAGAUGGAGAGACAGCUGGAAACCUGGCAGCUGCAUGAAUCUGGAAAUGCAGAAGAGAAGGCUGCAGCUGAGAUGUGGCAGAGAUACUUGAUCUUAACUGCACCUCUUUCACAACAGUUAUGUGAGCAACUUCGUCUCAUAUUAGAGCCCACCCAGGCAGCCAAGUUGAAAGGAGACUAUCGAACAGGGAAGCGACUGAACAUGCGGAAGGUCAUUCCCUACAUUGCCAGUCAGUUUCGGAAAGACAAGAUUUGGCUGCGAAGGACCAAGCCCAGUAAACGCCAAUAUCAGAUUUGUUUGGCUAUUGAUGACUCUUCUAGUAUGGUGGACAACCAUACCAAACAGCUUGCAUUUGAGUCACUGGCUGUGAUUGGAAAUGCUCUAACCCUCCUGGAAGUGGGUCAGAUUGCUGUAUGCAGUUUUGGAGAGUCAGUGAAGCUGUUACACCCAUUCCAUGAGCAGUUCAGUGAUUACUCGGGGACCCAGAUUCUACGGCUCUGCAAAUUCCAGCAAAAGAAAACCAAGAUUGCUCAGUUUCUAGAGUCUGUAGCCAGCAUGUUUGCAGUCGCUCAGCAUUUCUCACAAAACAUUAGUCCAGAAACUGCACAGCUUCUCCUGAUAGUCUCUGAUGGGCGAGGCCUUUUUCUGGAAGGGAAAGAAAGAGUCCUGGCAGCAGUUCAGGCUGCCCGGAAUGCCAAUAUCUUUGUCAUUUUUGUUGUUUUGGACAGUCCCAGUUCACGGGAUUCCAUCUUGGACAUUAAAGUACCAAUAUUCAAAGGACCUGGAGAGAUGCCUGAAAUCCGAUCCUACAUGGAAGAAUUCCCAUUCCCAUUCUAUAUCAUUCUUCGAGAUGUGAAUGCACUUCCUGAGACACUCAGCGAUGCCCUCAGACAGUGGUUUGAGUUAGUGACGGCCUCUGACCACCCGUAACACAGGAAGAGCCGUCCAAAGUGAGACUAUUUGAACCACAGUCAGAAAGUGACAUCUUACCCAGGUGUUCCCUACUCCUUUUUGGACAACUGUUUCUGAACGUGCCACUCGCAUAGCUCAGAGAGAGUUUUCAGGCUCUUGCUUUGCCUGGGCUCAAGUACCUUGUUUUGAAAUCUGGGGAGAAAUCCUAACUGGGGAGCCUGAUGCCCUCCUCUAGGAACCCAGCCACAUUCAGUCCCCUUUUGGUAGAGAGGGGUCAUACAGUGGGGAUUGGACCCAGAGUCUCAUUAAGUUGCUCAGGCUGGCCUCAAAUUUAUGAUUCUUCUGAGUACCUGGGAUUACAGGUGUGUGUCACCACAGCUGACUGUUGGACACAUUCCUUAAGCGAAUGGACUGUGCCAGUUCUUUGGACAAAGGAAUAAAGAGCUGCCUUUUGGACUCUACUUUAAGCUCUGCCACAGCAAGCUCAUGAUACGAACCCAAAAGCUAUCCUAUGGCUGAGAUACCUACAGUUUUCUGGAGAGCAUGAUUUUAUAUUUUCUUAUUGUGAAAAGAGUAUUCUCUCCAAGGGUAGGAAGCUUAUGGUGUACGUGUUCUCAUGUUUAGCAUGAUGUUAUGGGAGCCCAAGUAAUCAACAAAGAUCCUUGGGAUUUGAAAAUAAAGAAGUGGCUUUUCAGUGUUCUCCAUUCACAUUUGCUGCUCCGGGAGACUAUGCAAUGAUAGAAAGAUGAUUUUUCCUUUGUUUCACACUUUCAGUGCCAUAGUCCCUGUUAUAGUAAUUUAUUUCUUUAGUUCUCCCCUCCCCCCUUAAUAAUUAAGGGGAAGAGCCGGGGAUUUAGCUCUGGUUCCACCGCCUGCCUUGCAAGUACAAGGACCCGAGUUUGAUCCCUGGUACAAAAAAAAAAAAAAAAAAUUAAGGGGAAGAAUCAUUCCUCAGUGCUUUCAAGCUAGACUGAGCCAGUCUCAUUCUGGAAAACAAAUGCUGUGUCCACAAGAACUAAGCCCCUACAUUUAUUUUUCUUUUUCUCCCAGUCAGAACACAUCAGUGGUUUUAAGGCACUUUUUCCUUGGCCAAAAAGCAGUGCUUGAAUACUUGAAACUGUGCUGUGUUCUAUUUAAUGUUCUGUCAGAAUGUUCUUUUGUAGACAGUAUGCCAUGAUGUAGUCAUCUUAUCUCCUUAUCCCCAUGUCUCUCCAGGUUACAAUGUGAAGUCCUUAUACGGUGGCCAUUAGACACAGCUUGCUUGUUUAACCAAGUGUCCUAAAGCAUGUACCUGAAGUUAUAUCAUUGUUAUUUUUUAUUCUAAAAAAAAUCUAUGCAGUUUAUAUUCUGAAAACUAUUAAAAGAUUUACCACUGUUGAGGUCAUUUGUGAUCAUUCUUUUUUUUUUUGGUACGGGGGAUCAAACUCGGGUCCUUGCGCUUGCACAGCAGGCGGUGAAACGAUCAUUCUUAAUAGAAUAAGACAAAGGAUUUUAACAGGUGUCCUAGGGGAUUGAUUUACGUACUUGACCAGCAGACCAUUCAGUUUAUUCCAAGCUGGUAUGACCCAGCAACUUCAAAAACUUAGUACAGUAAGACUUUCUCACAUAUUAAUGCCUGUGGUGGGUGAGCUGCUCCAUGCUGGCGAGUUAGCAGAUCUACAUGGAGGCUCAUUAUGAUCCUGCUCCAUACCGACCUCUCUCACACUCAAAUUUCAUUGGCCCAAGCUAUCUCUGGGGCAAAAAAGUUAAUCCUCCAGCAGAGUUGGGUUUGAUAGAGAAAGCAACACUGACAGUUUUGUAAUCUAUUACAUUUAUCUUUAAUGGGCAGGUCUAUAUAUAAGGUGGGUCUUCCCAACUGGGGUGCCUAAAGUGAUUCCCAUGGCUCUUGGGAUUUGGGAAAUUAGGAAUUCUGGUGAGCACCUAACCAAGAGAGCCACUUCCAACCUGGGAAUAGGGAGUGUGUCACAGGAGCUGAUGCCCAGUUCUGACGUUUAAGGAAUGGGCAUCAGGACACAAAAUACUUUGCAUGC